UACGGGGGGGGCAAGCGUUGUUCGGAAUUAUUGGGCGUAAAGGGCUCGUAGGCGGCCAACUAAGUCAGACGUGAAAUCCCCAGGCUCAACCUGGGAACUGCGUCUGAUACUGGAUGGCUUGAAUCCGGGAGAGGGAUGCAGAAUUCCAGGUGUAGCGGUGAAAUGCGUAGAUAUCUGGAGGAAUACCGGUGGCGAAGGCGGCAUCCUGGACCGGCAUUGACGCUGAGGAGCGAAAGCCAGGGGAGCAAACGGG
rnacentral:rRNA from 1 species